GAUGAACGCUGGCGGCGUGCCUAAUACAUGCAAGUAGAACGCUGAAGGAGGAGCUUGCUCUUCUGGAUGAGUUGCGAACGGGUGAGUAACGCGUAGGUAACCUGCCUGGUAGCGGGGGAUAACUAUUGGAAACGAUAGCUAAUACCGCAUGACAACAGUUAUUGCAUGAUAACUGUUUAAAAGGGGCAACAGCUCCACUACCAGAUGGACCUGCGUUGUAUUAGCUAGUUGGUGAGGUAACGGCUCACCAAGGCGACGAUACAUAGCCGACCUGAGAGGGGGAUCGGCCACACUGGGACUGAGACACGGCCCAGACUCCUACGGGAGGCAGCAGUAGGGAAUCUUCGGCAAUAGACGGAAGUCUGACCGAGCAACGCCGCGGGAGUGAAGAAGGUUUUCGGAUCGUAAAGCUCUGUUGUAAGAGAAGAACGAGUGUGAGAGUGGAAAGUUCACACUGUGACGGUAUCUUACCAGAAAGGGACGGCUAACUACGUG
rnacentral:rRNA from 1 species